GGAUAACCUGCCCUAUUGUCUGGAAUAACCUCGGGAAACUGAGAACAAGGCCGGAUAGCCCACAAUGCCUGGAACGGUUUGUGGGUGAAGAUAGGAUGGGUCUGCGGCGUAUCAGGUUGUAGGGGGUGUAAUGGACCUCCUAGCCAUCGACGCGUACGGGUGUUGGGAGACAUAGCCCGGAGAUGGAUUCUGAGACACGAAUCCAGACCCUACGGGGUGCAGCAGGCGCGAAAACUUCACACUGCAGGAAACUGUGAUGAGGGAACUCCAAGUGCUAUCACUAUGUGGUAGCUUUUCUUGACUAUUAAUCGGUCAUGGAAUAAGGGCUGGGAAAGACCGGUGCCAGCCGCCGCGGUAAUACCGGCAGCUCAAGUGGUCGUCGCUUUUAUUGGGCCUAAAACGUCCGUAGCCUGUUUGGUAAAUCUGUGGGUAAAUCAACCAGCUUAACUGGUUGAAUUCUGCAGAGACUGCCAGACUAGGGACCGGGAGAGGUGUGGGGUACUCUAGGGGUAGGGGUAAAAUCCUGUCAUCCUUAGAGGACCACCAGUUGCGAAGGCGCCACACUGGAACGGAUCCGACGGUCAGGGACGAAGCCUAGGGGCACGAACCGGAUUAGAUACCCGGGUAGUCCUAGGUGUAAACGCUGUGAACUUGGUGUCGGGGACCCGUAAUGGGUCCUCGGUGCCGGAGUGAAGAUGUUAAGUUCACUGCCUGGGGAGUACGGUCGCAAGGCUGAAACUU
rnacentral:rRNA from 1 species